AUUCAAGACAGCUCUGUAAUGGCCUGGACUGAAUUUCAAGUGAUUAACACAGUUCCUGCAAAAAGUAAAUCAGUGGUUCUCAACAGGAAGUGGAGAAGUCAUCCUGAGGGAACAUUUAGCAAUACCUAGAGACAUUCUGGUUGUCAUAACCACGAGAAUGCUCCUAGUGGAUAGAAGCCAGGAUACUGUUAAACUCAUUCCACAAUGCACAGAACAACACACAACAACACAUUCUUAAUGUACAGGACUGAAACAAAGAAUGAUCUCACCCAGAAUGUCAGUGUUGCCAAGGUGGAGCAUAGAUGCUUGUGGCAGAGGGUACUGGUUUUCCCCCAGUAUCCAUUCUUUCAUUCGCCUGUGAUAAUACGUGCUCCUGUUUUUUUUUUUAUAAACAGCUGCCAAGCAGAAAAACACUUUCUAUCUCCUUGUAUGUAAGUGGAAAUAGGUAGGAUUGUCUUGUGGGGCUAGUUUCUUUCUUUUCUUCCUCUGCCCUGCCUCUUGAAACAUAGGUGCUGCACUGUCUUAGGUCAUGAGGUUGAGGACAUGCGAAAUGGAGCAACAAGAAGGAGGCUGUGUCCCUGACACCAUACAGCACUACACCUGUCCUGAAUUGCUGUGCAUGACACCAGAUAACUGCAAUGCAUUGUCUCAGCUCCCAAGACAUGAAUAAAAAACCAUCAAUAUGGCUUAAAAGCACAAAACCUUUGUAUCUUUGCCUUUUAUGUUAGGAUCUUAAUUAAAAAUUACAUCCUCUA